rnacentral:rRNA from 1 species
UACGGGGGGAGCAAGCGUUGUUCGGAUUUACUGGGCGUAAAGGGCGCGUAGGCGGCCAGCGCAAGUCAGUUGUGAAAUCUCCGGGCUUAACUCGGAAAGGUCAACUGAUACUGCGCGGCUAGAGUGCGGAAGGGGCAACUGGAAUUCUCGGUGUAGCGGUGAAAUGCGUAGAUAUCGAGAGGAACACCUGCGGCGAAGGCGGCCACCUGGUUGGAUACUGACGCUGAGACGCGAAAGCGUGGGGAGCAAACAGG